UACGAAGGGGGCUAGCGUUGCUCGGAAUUACUGGGCGUAAAGCGCACGUAGGCGGCUUUCUAAGUCGGAGGUGAAAUCCUGGAGCUCAACUCCAGAACUGCCUUCGAUACUGGAGAGCUUGAGUCCGGGAGAGGUGAGUGGAACUGCGAGUGUAGAGGUGAAAUUCGUAGAUAUUCGCAAGAACACCAGUGGCGAAGGCGGCUCACUGGCCCGGUACUGACGCUGAGGUGCGAAGGCUAGGGGAGCGAACAGG
rnacentral:rRNA from 1 species